UGAUCAGCAUGCCGCGUGAGUGAGAAGCCUUUUGGUUGUAAAGCACUUUUAGCGAGGAGGAAGCUACUCUAGUUAAUACCUGGGGAUAGUGGACGUUACAAUAAAACCGGCUCCGGCAAAGUCUGUGACCCGGCCGCGGUUUC
rnacentral:rRNA from 1 species